CCUACGGGAGGCAGCAGUGGGGAAUUCUGGACAAUGGGCGCAAGCCUGAUCCAGCCAUGCCGCGUGAGUGAAGAAGGCCUUCGGGUUGUAAAGCUCUUUCGGCUGGGACGAAAAGGUCCGUGUUAACACCACGGAUCCAUGACGGUACCAGCAGAAGAAGCACCGGCUAACUACGUGCCAGCAGCCGCGGUAAU
rnacentral:rRNA from 1 species